GUGCGAGACCGAUAGCGAACAAGUACCGUGAGGGAAAGAUGAAAAGAACUUUGAAAAGAGAGUUAAAGAGUACCUGAAACUGCUGAAAGGGAAGCGAAUCGUAUCCAGUGUCUAUAAUCUGCGGCAUAUUUCAUUGGCGGCAGUGUGCGUGCUUUUGCGUCGGAAGCGGCUUUUGUUGCUCUGUGCUUUUGCUGUGCGUGCUGUUGCUGGUGCCCUGUGUUGCGGUGGGACGUCAGAGUCAGUUCGUAUGCUGCGGGAAAUGGCCGCCGAGGAGGUAGGUCAGGACUUCGGUCUUGGCUGUUAUAUCUUGGUGGUUUGUUGUCGUGGUUGGGACUGGGGUGCCUACAAUGUGCUUUUGAGUGUGCCGGGUUCUCAUUUGGUGGACUGUUUGGAUAGCUUGCUAUGCUUGUGGUUUUUUCAUCGAGUGAUUGAGUCUGGUGGUAACUUGUUGCUGUUCGGGACUUUGAA
rnacentral:rRNA from 2 species